rnacentral:lncRNA from 12 species
AUAAUUUAACAAUCGUAACAUAAGCCUAACUAAUUCUGUUUCUUUCUCAUGUACCUGUUCCCUCAGGAACCAUACCAACAAUUAGUGCUUCGAUAGCAGCAAGCAACACAGAGCAGACACUGCACUGGAGAGAGCCAAGAUUCAAGCAUGGACCCCGACUGUAGUCAUGUGUAAUGUGCCAGCCUGCGUGGCCUUCGGUUCCCAGAGACCUUAUGAAAGCUACCAUUAUUUCUCUCCUUUUCCUACAAUAUACAGGUAAGUCUGACCUUUUUUUAAUUAACUCUAACACUAUUUUUCUUAUUUCAGUGUGCACUCUUGU